UGAACGCGAAGAACCUUACCUGGGCUUGACAUGUAAUGAACAACAUGUGAAAGCAUGCGACUCUUCGGAGGCGUUACACAGGUGCUGCAUGGCCGUCGUCAGCUCGUGUCGUGAGAUGUUUGGUUAAGUCCAGCAACGAGCGCAACCCCUGUUGCCAGUUACCAGCACGUGAAGGUGGGGACUCUGGCGAGACUGCCCAGAUCAACUGGGAGGAAGGUGGGGACGACGUCAGGUCAGUAUGGCCCUUAUGCCCAGGGCUGCACACGUACUACAAUGCCCAGUACAGAGGGGGCCGAAGCCGCGAGGCGGAGGAAAUCCUAAAAACUGGGCCCAGUUCGGACUGUAGGCUGCAACCCGCCUACACGAAGCCGGAAUCGCUAGUAAUGGCUCUCAGCUACGGCGCCGUGAAUACGUUCCCGGGUUUCGUCACUCCG
rnacentral:rRNA from 1 species